CCCUGCCAUUUGUACACACCGCCCGUCGCACCUACCGAUUGAAUGGUUCGGUGAAAAUUUCGGACUGCGACUCGGAUGCUUUCGGGCAACCGAGCUGUGGAAAGUUGUUUAAACCUCAUCAUUUAGAG
rnacentral:rRNA from 1 species